AGAGACUGCUCAGUGGUUAAGAGCACUUGCCGCUCGUCCAGAGGACCCAUGUUUCGUUUCCAGCUCCGGUUCCCAGCAGCUCACAAGCUCCUGUAACUGAAGCUCUGGGGAUCCAGCGCCCUCUUCUGGCCUGCAUAAGCACUACAUGCAUGUGGUCCUCGGGGAGGAGGCGGUUGAUACUGUUCCUUGUCCCCAAGUGUUCAGCGCUCUUGAAUUCCCACCUGCACCAUAUCUGCCUCACCCACUUCCUACAGGCCAGUCCUUAGUUUGGUUCUCCAGCUUGGUCGACAGGCAAUGCACCAUGCUGCCUCCCAGGGUCAUAAAGCUCUGCAAUGUGCAACUGAGCUGCAAUGUGCAACUGAGCUCCACUGCCUACUAGAUUCCAGCCUUCCUGGGGGACACAGCAGGACAGCGAGGUGUUUGAGACCCCAGGUGGAACGUGUCACCCUCAUCUGCUGCAAUUUUCUGGCUCUGAGGAAACUGCUCCAGACAUUGUGAAGUGUGAGCUCAUAGACGCGGGACUUUGAUGGAUCUUGUGCCACCGAAGACCCCGUGCUUCUGAACACAGACCCCAGCGCUCCUGCCGGCU